AAAAAUAAAAAAAAAAAAUUUAAAUUUUUUUCCGAAUUAUACUAUUUCGAAAUUCAAACCCUAAACCCUAAACCAUAAAUCCUAAACCCUAUUUUGUUUUAAAUACGAACCCUAAACCAUCAAUCCUAAGCCCUAUUUUUUUUUGAAAUAAACCCUAAAACCCGAAACAUCAACUCUAAACCCCGAAACAUCAACUCUAAACCCUAAACCCUAAACCUUCAACUCUAAACCCUAAACUUCAACUCUAAACCCUAAACCAUCAACACUAAAUCCUAAACUAUCAACACUAAACCCUAAACCCUAAA
rnacentral:lncRNA from 1 species